UACGAAGGGGGCUAGCGUUGCUCGGAAUGACUGGGCGUAAAGCGCGCGCAGGCGGUCCUUUAAGUCUGAUGUGAAAGCCCACGGCUCAACCGUGGAGGGUCAUUGGAAACUGGGGGACUUGAGUACAGAAGAGAAGAGUGGAAUUCCACGUGUAGCGGUGAAAUGCGUAGAGAUGUGGAGGAACACCAGUGGCGAAGGCGACUCUUUGGUCUGUAACUGACGCUGAGGCGCGAAAGCGUGGGGAGCAAACAGG
rnacentral:rRNA from 1 species